UACGUAGGGGGCAAGCGUUGUCCGGAAUCAUUGGGCGUAAAGAGCGUGUAGGCGGUCCGGUAAGUCGGUUGUGAAAGUCCAGGGCUCAACCCUGGGAUGCCGACCGAUACUGUCGGACUAGAGUUCGGAAGAGGCGAGUGGAAUUCCCGGUGUAGCGGUGAAAUUCGUAGAUAUCGAGAGGAACACCGGUGGCGAAGGCGGCCUUCUGGACAGUGACUGACGCUGAGACGCGAAAGCGUGGGGAGCAAACAGG
rnacentral:rRNA from 1 species